ACAAAGGGAAGCGAGCCUGUGAAGGGGAGCAAAUCCCAAAAAUAACGUCCCAGUUCGGAUUGUAGUCUGCAACUCGACUACAUGAAGCUGGAAUCGCUAGUAAUCGCGAAUCAGAAUGUCGCGGUGAAUACGUUCCCGGGUCUUGUACACACCGCCCGUCACACCAUGGGAGUCGGAAAUGCCCGAAGUCAGUGACCUAACCGAGAGGAAGGAGCUGCCGAAGGUGGAGCCGGUAACUGGGGUGAAGUCGUAACAAGGUAAC
rnacentral:rRNA from 1 species